AGAGUUGCGCGCGGGACUGUCGUGUUCAGCUGACGGCUUGUGUAGCCAAGAUGGCAUCCGCGGAACAAGUCGGUCUUAAUAAAACCUGGGAAUUAUCUCUUUACGAGUUACAUCGGACACCCCAGGAUGCAAUCACCGACAAUACGGAGAUUGCAGUUAGUCCGCGAAGUUUACACAGUGAGCUUAUGUGCCCUAUAUGCUUGGAUAUGCUUAAGAAGACUAUGACCACGAAGGAGUGCCUCCACCGCUUCUGCUCCGAUUGUAUCAUUACUGCACUUCGGAGCGGUAAUAAGGAAUGCCCUACAUGCAGAAAGAAGCUGGUGUCAAAACGUUCACUGAGGCCAGAUCCUAAUUUCGAUCUACUGAUAUCUAAGAUAUAUCCGAGUCGUGAUGAGUAUGAAGCACAUCAGGAACGUGUACUUGCGAAAUUGAAUAAGUCUCACUCACAAGCUGCACUAGUAAAUUCGAUAACGGAGGGCAUUAAACUGCAAAGUCAAAAUCGACCACAGAGAUCCAGAAAGAAUGCAAACGAAUCUGAGAAUGCAAGUAAUGCAACUUCAUAUAAUAAUACACCAAAUCCAAGUGCACCUACAACACCAAAUCCAGCAGCGAAUGCAGCUAAUCAGAGUGAUUCCUCCCAAAGUGCAACAGGACCAUUAAAUAACAGUGGUGGGGCUAGUAAUAAUAACAAUUCCAAUUCCCAAAAUUCCAACAGCGUUUCUCAACCUGCUAGUAGUCCAGCAGUGUCAGGAACAACAUCAAGAAAUUCAACGACACCUUCACCGAAUCCUGCAAAUCAGAUACCUAAGCCACCUAAACGACAAAAGAGCCUACAAAAUUCUGAGAAUGAUUCUUCAAGCGCAGAAGCUGAAACAGGUGGUGGCGACUCGAUGGUAGACACAGAAGGUGAAGGACCUAGCGAGCCAUUAAUGCUAAACGAAAUCGAGCUGGUAUUUAAACCACAUCCAACGGAAAUGGCUGGUGACAAUUCCCUAAUAAAAGCUCUCAAAGAAAACAGUAUUCGUUACAUAAAAACCACUGCAAAUGCAACAGUGGAUCAUCUUAGCAAGUACCUAGCAAUGAGACUGACCUUAGAUCUGGACACAGAGCUAUCGGAGUCUGACAGAUUACUAAAUUUCUGCAUCUACAUUGCACCCUCUCCGGGUCAACUAGUAGUCUUGAGUGGAUCUCAGACACUGCGUCAAGUAAAUGACAAAUUUUGGCGCGUCAAUCGACCUCUGGAAAUGUACUACUCUUGGAAGAAAACCUAGGGAAGGCCUAGAAAGUCUCAAUCGGAUGGGAGCUAGUCGCUGCACGCAACCAGACUCCAAGACGAUCGUGCUCAACCGCGCAAAUCAAUGGGGCAAUGGAAAUCGUUCCAAGUCGUCGUCGAGAACAGAGAGUCAAACUUUCGGAUAACAAGAAGAGAGAUGGACUCACGGAGGAGAAUCGUCUCCGUGGACUACUUAAGAGUGUUUAUGAGAUUGACUGCCUCAAGGAUUUUCCACGAAUCUCUCUUUUAACCGUCGACUGAUAACGAGAAUGGAGAUAUAAAAUAAAAAGACAAGAAUCGUUUUUACCGCUUCGCUGAACGAAUCGAUCCAGGAACUGAGCUCCUCAUUCAGCCUCCUCGUAUUUCAAUAAUACAGGAGAGUGCACUUGACUGGGCAGACGUGGGAAUUGGAAAUCCGAUUCUGCGUUUCGUUAAAAAUACAUGGAAAGCGUCUUUGCUCCACGACAAACUUAGACAGAAUAAUCAAUAUGUCCCACUAUACUUCAGUUAGCGUACUCCCGCUGCGUAUACCAAUUUGUCUGUUUUUUUUAUUUCUUGUCUUCUUUCGAUUAUUACAUUUUCACCAGAGACCAGUUGAAAGAUGGAAUACGUGUAUUGUAUAUCUAUAUAUUACCAAACUAUAGAUAUGCAUACAUUGAAAUUCAAAAUCGUUACGAAUGAAAUACGUGUAUUGCAUAUCUGUAUAUUAGUAAACUACAGGCGCACUUUCAAUGUAUUUCAACACCCGUUCAACGUCCAGGGAAAUGUGGGCAAUGACGGAACCCAAUGCAAAUAUUCCUUUGACUCGCAGUCUACGUCUGUCGAGUUCUGAUAAACCGACUACUAUAAAUAUACCGUCUGUUUACUACGGUACCGCAAUACGCUUUGCGCGUGCCAAUUCAACUCUCGUAUUUCAUUCAGUCAUGGGAAUUCCGUACGUGGGCAUAGAAAUUCACGAAUAAUGAAAAGAAUACCAGUAUCUUCUAAGAUGCGAUAAUGGCUAAUGAAAUUCCUCUCUUCGAAAGGGGUAGAAUUAUAAUCAUAUCUUUCUAUAUUACUUGUUUACUUGGGCUAUUUCAAUUAAUUUU